GGGGGUGAUCGGUUUCGACAUUGGUCGGCGGAUCAAGGGAAGCGGGUCGAGGAUGCACGGUCAUCUCGUCAACGCUCCGUGCAAACCAAUAGGUGCCAACUCCAAGCGCACCGACUUCGCCCUCGCCGCCUGAGCGAGCCCGAAGUCCGUUGGCCUGAGCAUGAUCUCGGCUCAGUAACCAGCGUCAUCUAGAGAUCUUGCUGCAACGUCAUGUCACGGGACGGUGCGGGACUCUUACGUGACUGGGCCUGUCAGGGAACGUGCUCGUGCGAGCCCUGGGGCCGAGAAAAUCCAUAGCGAGCUGCACCCGGAGAAGCCUUGGUUUCCCGUCAGUGGACGCGGGUUCGAUUCCCGCCACCUCCACCA
rnacentral:tmRNA from 1 species